rnacentral:rRNA from 1 species
AGUGAACGCUGGCGGUAGGCCUAACACAUGCAAGUCGAACGGCAGCACAGUAAGAGCUUGCUCUUACGGGUGGCGAGUGGCGGACGGGUGAGGAGUACAUCGGAAUCUACUUUUUCGUGGGGGAUAACGUAGGGAAACUUACGCUAAUACCGCAUACGACCUACGGGUGAAAGCAGGGGAUCUUCGGACCUUGCGCGAUUGACUGAGCCGAUGUCGGAUUAGCUAGUUGGCGGGGUAAAGGCCCACCAAGGCGACGAUCCGUAGCUGGUCUGAGAGGAUGAUCAGCCACACUGGAACUGAGACACGGUCCAGACUCCUACGGGAGGCAGCAGUGGGGAAUAUUGGACAAGGGGCGCAAGCCUGAUCCAGCCAUACCGCGUGGGUGAAGAAGGCCUUCGGGUUGUAAAGCCCUUUUGUUGGGAAAGAAAAGCAGCAGGUUAAUACCCCGCUGUUCUGACGGUACCCAAAGAAUAAGCACCGGCUAACUUCGUG